ensembl:lncRNA
GACCAUUACAGGGCUGUUUUCUUCAAGCAUUCCACCCUUAGCACCUUGUUGCUUAAAUGUCUUUUAAAACAUUGCUAUUCACAGUUGAGAAACAGCCAGACAACCAAAGAGACUAAAUUAUACUUCAAAAAUGAAAACUGUUUCAAAGUGAGUCAUCGAUUAUAUUCUUAUUUACGUAGCAUUUAUAUUUAAAAUACUGUGAUCAAAUACUGCCAAGAAGAAAUUAAUAUCACUCAGAGUCAAGAUCUCUCAUGAAAAGAAAACCCUUAAACAAGAUUUAAAAUUAGAGUUAAUUCUAAGCUCAAGAUGGGUGGUCUCAAUGGAAUCACUGCUGGGCAGUAGGUAAGGCCUCUCUGAUGAGUACCACUUCUCACCAUGAAUCUGCAUAAAAUACAUACACAAAAUUCUGCAUAAAAUCUCAGAGGGCUCUCUAUAAUCCUCUCCAGCUGUGAGCAAAAUGUUAAAUUCCACUUAACACACACAUGUAUAUGUACAUGUUUAAGUUCCCCCUGCCCUAAACAAGCACUCCAUCCUGGGCUGGGGCUAUGGCUGGUGUUCUCAUGUCCUCCAGCCAGCCAGCUCAGCAGCACAGUCUCUAUACAGAUGGAGACCCAAGGUGUAGAGCUAGCUAUGGCUUUUACCUCCUGGCUAUCUAGGUUUUAUUAUUAGGUGCGGGCUUCGCAGUAGCACCUUCCCAGCUCGUGGCUGUCAGCUUCCUGCUCACCACACAUAGAGGUUCAGUAGUUGCCCAGCUUUCAUGCACAUUCAGAUUCACAAGUUCUGUUCCAAGAUCUCAUUUUGACUGGCCCCAAAAGUCCUCUCCAUCUCUUUGUGAUAUUAUUUCUUUCCUAAACUACUUUUUAAGCAAUCUUAUUAGGUAUUAAUAGGUGCAAAGGCAGCCAACAACAAAUGGAAGAUUGUAAAAUCUACGGCAGAUACGUAUCCCAAACUCCAUUUAUUCUGUAACAACCAAUAAGGUCACGUAGCUUGGACUCGGACACAGUACUCUGUAUUCUCUUGCACCUUCCCAAAGAUCAUGUGGUCUUAUCACAAACUUGCUACCUGUAAGUCUGAUUCAAUGUUCUUGCCCUCAGUCAAUGUGGUUGACUUUAAGAAUGCAAACUAGCAUCUCAGUAUCUAUUCACUGCAGCAGCAAACAGCUUUUAUAUAUGCUGUUUUCUUUUGGACUCCUACAUUGGCAAACUUCUAAUUUUUAGGUUGGGCUUAUCUUGUAUUACUUUGAUGAAAAGGAUGAGAGUGUGUUAAAAAGAAGCUGGACAACUGCAUGGUACACAUAUAUUCUUGAGCAGCAGACGAAUGUGGUCUUCACUCUAGUUCUUGGGCACACCUGGUGCCGAGAAGGAGUGCACCGAAAUACAUUUGUUUGAUAUUAAUAGGCAUGCUUCCCACACUAGGACUUUCGAUCUGUUUUGAAGCAAGUGGGAUAAAAGCAUUUGCCAAAUGUGGAGAAAGCCCAAACAUGCAAACAAUACUUCUCUCCUACUCUUCGGCCCACUGAAUAUGUGCAAUUAGGGACACGGGGGUUUGUCCUAAAAAUCUCAUGGUGCAGAUAACCAGCAUCGCUAUCAGUAGGUUUUAACACGCAGGGAUGUUCCCAGGGUGAAGUGACGACAGGAAAAGGAUCUGUUUUAGUCAUCUGUCAACUGAAGUCAUGCUGAAAAUCAAUGGCUCCUUUUAAAUUAAUAGAGCUGUAUGGUGUAGCAAUUUAGGCAGGAUUUAAGUAGGUUUCCUACCAAUACAAAAUUGUUAACAAAAUCAAGCUAGUCUCUGGGCUCUUCGGUACCAAGUAGCAUAGUGCAUUUUAGCUUUUGAAGUCCUUUUUGAUACAUCCUAAAGUAAGCGUCUUAAAUGGUCUGAAAUAAACAGUCUGCUAACGAUUCAGAAGUAUUGAUUCAUCCUAGGAACUGAGCUCUUGCAAGGCACAAAGAAAGUCUGGUUGAUGUAAAAAGUUUGUUUCUCAAUUAUUUCAUAACAAUGAUACAAUUAUGAGUAUGUAUUAUUUUUCAAUGAAGUCUUUUAAAAAUACCAAUUGCUUUUUUUGCUAAGAGUACAUUUUGAGAGUUAAUGUGAAUUUCACCUUCUAUUCUGUUGUUCACUGAACAAUCAUGAGUAUCAGAUCAUUAGUUUGGCACAGGAAAGCUCUGAAAUAAACUAAAAUGCUUAAUCAGCUAGCUCUGUGAGGUAUGUGCUGUGUGCGUCUAUUCCAAGCAGUGUGUAUCUGUCUGCCAAGGGAGUGGGAUAAACUUUUCAUAUAACACCAAACUUAAAAAAUAAAAAGAGUCACUCAAUAGCAUAAUUCCAUUAUGUGAAAUACACACAACAAAACUUUUUGUUUCCAUAUAAUUUAGAGUGUGGUCAGCAAAAUAUAAUCCCCUCUUUAAAAAAUAAGUUUAAAUUAAGAUCAAUAAAAACAAUAAAAAAAUUAGUCCCAUAAUAACAUGGUUAACAACUCAAAUGGCUUUUUUUUUAAUGCUAGGAAAAAUGUUCACCUUUCAAUGGUGACAGUACUGUUAACACAGGUAGAGAGUCAACAAGGUAAAAAGUGAAAGCACAUACAGACACACACAAAUAUAUAAAAUUUGACCAGAAAUCACAGGACAUUUAAGCAAUGUUUUCUUAAGUAGAACUAUUUUUUUUUUUUUUUUUUGUACUUUAAAUAGACUAAAGUAUUUGGUGUGGGUGGAGGGAAGGAAAUCAAUAUUUCACAACUUUAACUUGAAAACCAGCUGAAAUAAAGCCUCAGCUCAUUGUUUAAUUUUUUAAAAAUGGAACCACAUCAUACUUCUGACAAUCAUAGGAUUAAAGCUUACAAAGAACACAUCUACCGUCUACAUCACAGUGCACAGAGAGGAUGCAGUCUGCAGACUACCACAGGGGAACAAGAACAGACUCUGCACCCUUCAUAUUGCAUUACAAAAUCAAUGCCGUCUUAGAGGAAUCUUGCCUCCCGUGUCGGUGUCAUAGCUGGCAAGCACCUGAGGGCUAGGAGGCUAUCAGAACUGAGGGUGCUGCUCAGAGUGGAUCAGAACACCAGUUCCUUGAUCUGCCCCUGGCUGAUGCAUUUAGUAAUCACAAUACGACAUUCACUGAGAAUAAACAUAAAAAUGCCACAUUUUGGCUUCUUGAGCAGGACAGUCUGGGGAAUGCAGAAGAUAGAGCAUCAAAGGCCGUAUCUUUCCUCGAGAGAAAAAAUCCACGCUCCUCAGUUUUCUUUUACCAUGAGAAUUUAAAUUUCAGAUAUAAUAAUUUAACCCCAUAAAGACAUGAUCUGUACUUACAUAUACACACAGGUUCUGAAGAACUUCACUGUCUAGUUGCCUCUUCUGUUUCAUUCAACCACCGGGUAUCUUUCCUGGAUUACUGUUAGUCUCACUACCAAGAGCACGUUGGUGCCAUUAGCUAUUAUUUGUCUUAAAUCUCACAUUCCAUCCACAGUAAUAAGUGACCGGAGGACACGUGCCGUAAGGCAAUUGAACUUAAUUGAAACUAGUACAAUGUUUAAGGUGAGGUUAAGUCACAAGAAUAGCCAGGGCUAUCAGCUCCUCCUUGCUGUGUGGGCCUGGGCUUUCCUGGGUUUAGCACUCACAAAGUUUUGCAUCCAAGGGGACCACCUCAGUCCCAGACAUGCCAGGGCAGGUUGCCACCCUAAAGAGCACUCCUCAUUCCUCCCUUAGGAUCACUAGAGGAAGGGUAAGAAUCUUCAAGAGCAUAUAGGGCUACUUAUGAGGGAAUCAGCUCAAAAAUCUUUUUAGGACACCUGCUAAUCGCUAGUUCCUAGAAGUCCACAAAUAUCUUACUUUAAGAAAAGGUUGAUCGAACUUAAGCAAACUGGUGAGCAUGUAACAGUUCAUCCUUGAAGCCUGUUUUCACAUAAAUCCUCUAUAGGUUCUUCAGGUUUUGUCCAGUUAUAUAGUAUUUUACUAUAUCUUUUUGAGAUUUUUCAGAGCUAAAUGAAUAAUCCAGUUUUAUAUCUUUUCAUAUUCUUUUUUUUAUGUGAAAAUAUUCUUUGCCAACCAUUUCCCACGUUUGGGCUUCAUAUGUUAACAAGAAGACUGCCAACUGGAGCCAUUUCCCUCAGAUUAUAAAGGCCCAGAAUUAUGUUACUUUUAACUGUGCUCUACCAGAAGGUCUGGCCUUGGGGAGAGACGGCAAAAAAAAUAUUCUCAGAUAUGCACAUUUUUAUUUUGCCUACAACGCUAUGAUCUAGUUCAUCAACUGCACAACUGCUUUCAUCUUAAUCUUUAUAGUUUUUCUUGUUUUGCCGUCUUGUAUUACAGAAAUGGUUAGUGUCACAGUUUCACUAUCAGUAAUAAAAAGAUAUAAAUAUUUAUGCCUUAAAGGCCCAGGGUCAAAACAGCAAAAAUGAAGCCUGAGGUAAAGCUGGUCUAAGAAAUGACCAUUUUCGGUUCUACAUUUUGCCAAAAAAAUAGGGUAUUUUUAAAAAAUGUAAAAUCCAUGCAUGUUACCUACAUGCUAUGUAUGAGAUAAUUCUUUCUCCUGAUUUAAUCUGUGUAUAUACUAGUUACAUAAAACCAACAAAUGACUACAUUCUUAAUGCAGGUACAUAUACAUUCAUCAGAAAAGGACCCUAAUCUUUUUCACCAACAAUUUUUUUUGUUUGAACAAUCCAAGAAUGUGAAUAAAGAAAGUGACAAACAAGUAUCAUCUUAGGAAUUACUGAGAAAGGAAAAUCUCUUUGGAAGAAAAAGACUUUAGGAAGACUUCUAUGCUGAGAACCAACUUUAUGCCACAGCACUGUAAACGGCAGGACUUAAUACAGAACCAGAAAUACAGCAAGUUACCUAGAGACUAACACUGAAAAACAGCCAAAAGCUUUAAAGCCACAGGGAGAAAAAAAACUGUCAAGUGUGAAAUGAAAAAUAUAUAAUAGUUAAGUAUUUUUACAAUUCUAAAACUUCACUUCUGUCCUUAAAUCAAUAUAUUAUGAAUUUCACGGUUCAAUAAAUAAGCAUCUUUAAUCAGAAAAGGAAGUAAAACCCUUCCCAG